rnacentral:rRNA from 1 species
AUUGAACGCUAGCGGGAUGCCUUACACAUGCAAGUCGAACGGAGUGGCGAACGGGUGAGUAAUGUAUCGGAACGUGCCCAGUAGCGGGGGAUAACUACGCGAAAGCGUAGCUAAUACCGAAUACUCAUGGAGCGGCCGAUAUCGGAUUAGCUAGUUGGUGGGGUAACGGCUAACCAAGGCGACGCUCCGUAGCUGGGUUGGAAGGACUACCGGCCACACUGGGACUUGGACACGGCCCAGACUCCUACGGGAGGCAGCAGGGUGGAAUUUUGGACAAUGGGGGAAACCCUGAUCCAGCCAUCCCGCGUGUGCGAUGAAGGCCUUCGGGUUGUAAAGCACUUUUGGCAGGAAAGCGGUACCUGCAGAAUAAGCACCGGCUAACUACGUGCCAGCAGCCGCGGUAAUUC